AUGAAGAACCAGAUGAGCAUGUUCCACGGCACCACCGCGCGCGGCUGGAAGGUUCUCGACCCCUUCUACUUCUUCAUGAACCCCAGCCCCGGCUACGUUGUCACCUUCCUCAACAAGCUGCCCCCACGACCUCACCUGCAAGGGCGGCAAGACCAGCCACGAGGUGGCCAACUACAUCCAGAUACUCAUCACCUCCACGCUCUCGUACGAGUGCACCAGCUUCACCAAGAAGGACAAGGACAAGACACUCGCCGGCAACGACGGCUCCGUCGUCUCCAAGCCAAACAUCGACAAAGAGAAGUUCAUGGGCUCCUAAUUAUUAAACUUUUUGAAGCCUAA
rnacentral:rRNA from 1 species